rnacentral:rRNA from 1 species
UCCGGUGUCCAUAGCGGAGCUGUCACACACGUUCCCUUCCCGAACACGGUAGUUAAGGGCUCCAGCGGCGAUGGUACUGUAAAUUUGACUAUGGGAGAGUAGCACGGCGCCGGAA